AGCAGCCGCGGUAAUUCCAGCUCCAAUAGCGUAUAUUAAAGUUGUUGCAGUUAAAAAGCUCGUAGUUGAAUUUCGGGGUCAGUAGGCUGGUCGUGCCCCCGGUACGUACUGGUCUAACUGAUUCCUCCUUCCUGAAGAACCGUAAUGCCAUUAAUUUGGUGUUGCGGGGAAACAGGACUGUUACUUUGAAAAAAUUAGAGUGUUUAAAGCAAGCUAACGCUUGAAUACAUUAGCAUGGAAUAAUGUAAUAGGACGGUCGAUCCUAUUUUGUUGGUUUCUAGGAUUGACGUAAUGAUUAAUAGGGAUAGUUGGGGGCAUUAGUAUUCAAUUGUCAGAGGUGAAAUUCUUGGAUUCAU
rnacentral:rRNA from 1 species